AACGAACGCUGGCGGCAGGCUUAACACAUGCAAGUCGAACGCAUCGCAAGAUGAGUGGCAGACGGGUGAGUAACGCGUGGGAACAUACCCUUUUCUACGGAAUAGCUCUGGGAAACUGGAAUUAAUACCGUAUACGCCCUACGGGGGAAAGAUUUAUCGGGGAAGGAUUGGCCCGCGUUGGAUUAGCUAGUUGGUGGGGUAAAGGCCUACCAAGGCGACGAUCCAUAGCUGGUCUGAGAGGAUGAUCAGCCACAUUGGGACUGAGACACGGCCCAAAAUCCUACGGGAGGCAGCAGUGGGGAAUAUUGGACAAUGGGCGCAAGCUUGAUCCAGCCAUGCCGCGUGAGUGAUGAAGGCCUUAGGGUUGUAAAGCUCUUUCACCGAUGAAGAUAAUGACGGUAGUCGGAGAAGAAGCCCCGGCUAACUUCGUGCCAGCAGCCGCCGUAAAAC
rnacentral:rRNA from 1 species